AAGGUUGACCUCGGAUCAAGUAGGGAUACCCGCUGAACUUAAGCAUAUCAAUAACCGGAGGAAACC
rnacentral:rRNA from 1 species